rnacentral:rRNA from 1 species
GAUGAACGCUGGCGGCGUGCCUAAUACAUGCAAGUCGAACGAACAGACGAGGUGCUUGUUCCUCGGACGUGAGCGGCGGCCGGGUGAGUAACAAGAGGAUAGCCAACUUCUCAGACUGGGAUGACUACGGGAAACCGGAGCUAAUAACGCAUAAUAUAUUGAACCGCUUGGUUCAAGAGUCAGAGACGGUUUUUGUGUCGCUGGUAGAUGGAUCCGCGCCGCAUUAGCUAGUUGGUAAGGUAACGGCUUACCAAGGCAACGAUGCGUAGCCGACCUGAGAGGGGGAUCGGCCGUAAUAGAAGGGAGCCGAGGUCCAGACUCCUACGGGGGGCAGCAGUAGGGAGUAUUCUGGAAUGGGGGGAAGCCUGACGAAGCAGCGCCGCGUGGGUGAUGAAGGUGGUCGGCGCGUAGAACACUGUUAUUAGGAGAGAAGCAGUGUGUAAGUAAUUAUGCGCGUCUUGACGGUACCUAGUCAGAAAGCGACGGCUAACUACGUG